rnacentral:rRNA from 1 species
UACGAAGGGGGCUAGCGUUGUUCGGAUUUACUGGGCGUAAAGCGCACGUAGGCGGAUUGUUAAGUCAGGGGUGAAAUCCUGGAGCUCAACUCCAGAACUGCCUUUGAUACUGGCAAUCUUGAGUCCGGAAGAGGUGAGUGGAACUCCUAGUGUAGAGGUGGAAUUCGUAGAUAUUAGGAAGAACACCAGUGGCGAAGGCGGCUCACUGGUCCGGUACUGACGCUGAGGUGCGAAAGCGUGGGGAGCAAACAGGG